rnacentral:rRNA from 1 species
GGAUUAGAUACCCUGGUAGUCCACGCCGUAAACGAUGAUAACUAGUUGUUUGCAAUAGACCGUAAGCGACAAAGCGAAAGCAUUAAGUUAUCCACCUGGGGAGUACGUUGGCAACAAUGAAACUCAAAGGAAUUGACGGGGGCCCGCACAAGCGGAGGAACAUGUGGUUUAAUUCGAUGAUACGCGAGGAACCUUACCUGGACUUAAAUGUAUAGUGACAGCUUUAGAGAUAGAGUUUUCUUCGGACACUUUACAAGGUGCUGCAUGGUUGUCGUCAGCUCGUGCCG